rfam:Burkholderiales bacterium RIFCSPLOWO2_02_FTLL_57_36 rifcsplowo2_02_scaffold_596, whole genome shotgun sequence.
GUCGUCGCGAGGUGGGGUCUGAAGGAAGCCGAACUCAAAGCUGCGGGGCGAUGGACAAGAAUCGGAUAUGAGGUGUGGCGCUUCCGGGGCGAGUGGGCACGUGACCACGAUUCGGUACAAUGAACUCUUGCGUCGCGACUUAAUCUGCCGAACCGCCGGAUACGUGACCCGUAUGUCCGGCGGCGUGCGAGGGCGGGGGC